AUUGGACAAGGUGGUUCCCAUUGCCAAGUAGAUGGACAAGAUGGUGCAGAAGAAUACAGCUGGAGCAUUGGAUUUGCCAAAGGAGCUUAAAAAUAUUCCCAUGACCAUGGAAUUAUUACAGCCCCCAGAAGAAUCAGAAUAUCAGUUAAUGCUAAUGGCAAGCAGCAUAAAGAUGAAGAAGUUACAUCUUUAACAGUCUGUCAUGAAAUCUGGGAAAAAGUUACUAUCAACCGAGAAAGACCCUGAAGAAAAGAAAAAAGAACCUGCAGUUACAUUGCAGAAUAACUCUGAAGCGAGAGAAGAAAGUAGCUCCGGUGGCAGUGCAAGCAGCAGAGAGGGUGAGACAAAUGCUCUAGAUACUCGUGUUUCAUCUUUUAUUCAGGAACGAAGCACUUCUGACUCUCUUUGGUUAAAGUGUUGCGAGGUGCUUGCUGCAGCUCUCCAAACAGGAGAUGGCUACACUGCUAUUGGAGCUGGUGAGGAAGAAUUAGGAUCUCAAAUUGAGGAGGCUGUAUAUCAAGAAAUUAAGGAAUAUAGGUACGAAAUGCAAAAGUAGAGUAUGAAGUAGGAUAUCAAAUCUUAAAGAGCAAAGAAUCCAAAUUUAAGGGAAAAUGUACCAUGUGAGAAUAUUCCUCCUGUCUUAUUUGCUAGAAUGAUGGCAGAGGAAAUGGCUAGUGAUGGGCUCAGAGAGAUAUGGAAAAACUUGACCAAAGAAGUCAUCAGAGAGCAUUAGGUGGCCAAGGCAGGUGGAACCCAGAGUGGCUUGUUCACAUGUGCAAAUGUAGUGCUGAUGGACUGAUAACAUUCGUUGUCUGUAAUGAAUGUGGACGUCAGUGGAAGUUCU
rnacentral:lncRNA from 1 species